GUUAAAAGCAAAAGACCCAUUCCCUGCAUACUCUCUGGCUUCCUGGCUCCAGAAUCCACUAUCCUCCAUGGAGACAGACACCAUCAAGGACAAGCACCUGGACUAUCUCCUCCCACAAAGAGAUACGGGCUGGUGGGAAAGCUGCUGACCAGCAAGGUCAUGAGUUCCCUCCUGUCUGCAAGUAGUCUCAAGGCCAAAGACAGGCUGGUGGGAAAGCUCUGACCAGCAAGGCCAUAUGCUCCCCCUCCCCUACCUAAAGCCCCAAAUAAAAACCCUUCCUUUUAGCUUUUCGGGGAGUUUGGGAUUUGAGCGUUAGCUGCCCUCUCUCCUUGCCCAGUGCUGUGCAAAAAAAUAAAAUUCCUACUUUCUUCCACCACACCCAGUGUCAGAGAUUGGCUUGCUGUGCAACGGGUGAACGAACUCACUUCAGGUUCGGUAACAAUUUGGCACCCCAGAUGGGACAAUGUCCCAGGUGGACGUCUCACCUGUGGCACACCGGCCUCUGGCUAAAGGCCUCUCUUGGAAGCUGUCCUGCAGCUGCCUGAGCCCCUUGUCUCAGGGACAGCCCCAAGUGGCUGGCUGCUAGCCAGAUGUCAUUGGCCCAUGGCACUUUUGCUUUGGUGGUGGAAGAAACUAGGUUUAGGACAUAGGAAGACGUCUCUUGUAAGUAGCUGGUAGUUUUUGUUUUUGUCUUUGUGUUGACCUUUUCUAACAGGACCAGCUGGAAAUAAUGGGUACCCUGGCAGCCCUCUGGCCUUCAUUUGUUUUGAAGUUGCCGCGACGCCCCAGCCAACUUUUGGUAAGUCCCCCGGGUGUGCACACAGAGGUCCCUUGUCCUUGCUCAUCUGGGAAGAUCUGCAUGGCGGGUCUUCAUUUGUUGGGCGCCCCCGAGUGCAGGACACGGACUAAGCUGGGACUAGAAGCACUUUGGUUUUUGGUUUUGGUCUUUUUUUUGGCUUCCAUUUGUGGCUGAGGGUUUUUGGGAAUGCGCGCUUGUUUGGUAUUUGUUGUUGUUGUCUGUUUGUCUCUCCUUUUAAAAGUGUUAACAUGGGAGAUGCUGCAUUUAUUCCACCUAAGAGCCCCUUGGGAAAAACUUUGGCUGACAGUCGACCUAUAGCUAUAAGCUAAUGUCUAAAGAGGGAUGAUUUUCUUUUGUAACACCACGUGGCCACAAUAUUCUUUAGACUCCGGAGAGAAAAAAAAAUCGCCAAAUGAUGGAUCCUCAAGUUGGGAAACUUUUUAGAGAGCUCUUAUGAUCAACAACUGUUUUAUUGGUACCUAUGAAAAGACCAAAUUAAAAGGAAACUAUAAUGACUUGUCUUAAGAACUUAAUCAAACUUGGGUUCUCAGCUUCUCGUAGUCUUACAGAUGCUAAUAAAAAUGUUAAGUUAACAAAGAGAAAUCAGAAAGGGAAGAGUCACAGGACUGGUCCCAAUGGGAUAAAUGGAACAGAUAUAAAUGAAGUUAAAACAAAGGUUUUAAUAAAACACUGCCUAAGGUUCGAUGGGCUAAGGGGACCCCCUAUUGGCUCCCCAACAUUAAAGGACAUCAGACAAAUCUGUUCUAUUUACCCCAGUUUGAAAAAUUUAAAAGGUCAGGAGGCAAAAAAAUCAGAGUGAGAAACCUGACCAACAAUUGUUUGGGGCAACAGUUAGGCUACUAAGAUUAAUAAGACUAUAAAGAUUAAAGUAUUUAAGCUAAUAUUAUAUGAAGGGGUUAUGUCAACUUUGCCUGGAUGUUUUCUUUGGGAAUAAAUGUUACAUCUAACUGGGAAUGCUUCUGCUGAACAAUACUGUAAUACCAAAACUUGUUAAUAGAAUUCUAACGUAAGUUAUAAUUAAAAAUAUAAGGGUUAGUAAAACUAAGAUAAAGUUUUGUAAAAUUUGAUAUACUUAAACAGCCCAAUUUCAGUUCACCCAAACUGAUGUAUGCAAUUGGAAAAGCCAGCUGCAACAAUGGGGAGCCUGUUUUAAUCUUUUGAGGCUUCUAAAUAAAAUUAGAAAUACUUUACUGCCUCUUUAAGAGAAAAUAAUUAAAUAGUUAAACAUGCCAGCAGCCAACCCAAAUCUGCUGCUUUUGUCUACUCUCUUGCUGAGCUUCCCAGCAAGCUGAGCUUCGCUUCAACUCCCCCAAAAUUUCUGAUCUAAAAUUGAACAAGUAAAAAUAAGCAAACUUUUGAGAUAAUUGGGAAUUGUAACGACCAUUAUGAAAACCUGUUUCAGAAGAGGAUUCAAAAUCUCUCAUAAUGGAAUGCAGUCUUUAAUGAAUAUGCAAGAACUUCUAAGAGACAAAGUUAUUUCACGUGAUAUAAAAUGAUCUUUGAUGAAUAAAAGCCUGUUUAAGUUUGCUGGUUUCAUUUAAAAUGAACAUGUCCUCAAAAUUAUCAGCAUUGGCUACAAUGCAGACAUACAGCCUGGGUUUACUGGUCAAAUGAGCUCAUGUCAUGUCUGUUACAAAAUUUAUCAGCAAAACUCAUAACUCAGUAUAAUAGCUAAUUUUGUUUAAUGUCUCAUGGAGUUUUUGUAGAUGAUCUAAAUAUAAUUGUUAAGAACAAGUAAACUAAAUAAAUAUAUAUAUAAUUAUAUGUAUAAUAAUUAUAUUGUGAUAUAUAUACUUAAAACAACUGAGGAUAAUACUUCACUGUUGUAAUGUCACAUGAAGUUUUUAAGAGUAAUUGUUAAAACUGGGUAAGGGUUUUAAGUACAAUAAUUACGUUUUAUAGUCUGAAUACUUAAAAAAACAGCUUCCAAAAUCUUUUUGGAAACUUAAAUUUUAUAACUUUACUCAGUUAAGUUAAAUAAUAACAGUUUAUUGGGUAUCAACGUCAUUUCCACAUAAGAUAAAAUAUUAAAGGUUAACUACUAAGCAGAUAUUUGUCUGCCUUUGGUUUCUUAUAUCAAAGAGACUGAAAAGUGCUUAGGUUUAUUGAUAAACGUUGUAUGUAUGCUGAGAAAUUUUCUAUGAGAAAUCAUAUAUUUCUAAAAGAUCUGUAUACAAAGAAAAUAAAAUGUAUGUUUUCAAUAAAAAGACAUAAAGAAUGGAAAUAUUUUUGUUUCUUGAGUUGAAAAAGAUAAAUUUGUCCUAAAGUACUGGGACAAAUUCUGAAUGUAAAAAAAGUAACCAAAGGUUUGUAAAAGUAAAGCCCUAAAAAGAUUUAUGUAUGGUCAAUUUGUCCAGGAUUAAAGUAAAUCCAAUUAAAUAAAUAAACAUAUGUCAAAAGUAAACUGGUACAAAACUAAAACUUGGUUUCCUCUUUCUUAAAAGGAUAAUUUUCCUAAAUUUUUAAUCUGCUCUUUAUAAAAAGGUUAUAAAAAGGCUUUUUUUGUACUAUUUUAACUCUGUUUCCCCUUGACUGUUUCUGUUGUCACUUUGAAUAGAUACCUGAACAUGUUUUUACAAGUGAACUUUGUUUCCUAUCUGAACAAAUGUUUUAAAGCUUUUAAUAUUUUUGACAAGCUUCACCCCUGACACAAAUAUUCAAGUCUUGAAUAAAAGCUUUCUUUUGACCUGGAAGAGGAGAGAAGGUUUCUCUGGGGAUUUUCAGAGGGCCCCUGGGACUUCUUGGAGAAAUUUGCUCUCUUCCUAUAAGAAAAGAAAGCUAAACUAAUAAGGCUUAUUUUGUAUGCUAAAUUACAUGAGAAACAUUGUCAAAUAAGUAAUGGUAAACUUUCUUAAAUGAUAUUAUAUAAAUGUUACUGAUAUAAAUAUUUUAAAAAUUAUCUGAUCUAUUCUGAUUGUCAGCUAUAAUCCCGGUUAUUAUCUCAAAAUGUUAUAUAUCACAGAGAUGGUCAAAUGCCUUUGUCAGUUACCAUUUUUGUAUGUUUUGUUAUUUAUGAACAGUGGCUAUUUUACUUUGAUGUUUUUGCAAAUAUGUUUCAUCUUCAGAGAAAUUCAUGGAAAGGACUCUGACACUCUAGAAUACAGGUUUCCAAUAAACAUUCAGAUUGUAAAACUAAACUGGGUAAAAAUUACAGAACUCCAACAGAGAAACUGAUGACCUCACAAACUGCUGACAGAAGAUUAAGGUCAAGAACCAAUUACACAGCACAGAAUAAACUGAUAGGGAUGAUUAUAAUUUUUAUGACUUUUUGAUCGAGAUAUUGCUGAUUUCUGAUGUUUUGCUUUUUUUCAGAGUUAAGAAAACCUUUUUCUCUAUUCUGUUAAAGAACUAUGACUUACAGCAAUUUAUAAACAAAAUUGAAACAUUUGUCUUUUCCUCCCUAUCUGAGCCCCCCAAAACGCAAAACCCCUGAUAAGUGAGUAUUCUUAUUCUUAUGGCAAUAUAGUUGUUUGCAUAAGUACAAUAAGAAUCUGUUCUUCUUUUAACAGGACAAAAUUGGAAACACUGGCUAUAUUACCAAGACUUUGACUGGAACAUCAUAUUUUAAAAAAAAACAUAGGGGCUUGGAUAUAACACGACAGCUUUUGAGGAAUGAAGGUUGACAUUCUGGAAUAAAGCCACUUGGAAAUAUUGGCCUGGUACUGUGCUUAUGGGUUCUGUAACCUGCCUUACAAACUGAAGCUGGAAGACCUACUAUAAACUUGAGAGAUUCAUGUCUGCUGCUGUGUAAGCCACUCAAAAAGCUACCCUGAGUGCCCGAUGACACCAUGAGAGACAUUUCAAACUGCAAAAGAUCCUUCGACCCUGAGUUCUAGGAAUCUUGAUUGGCUGCCCCCUGGGCUCAGACACUGGUUUAUAAUUUGCUCCAAUCAUUAAUUGUGUCUUUCUCUUUUUGUUUCUCUAGAAAAACUUCUUAUUAAAUACCUGGUUACUUACUUACAUGAUACACGCCUAACUUCAGGAGCCCACCAGCAUCACCGCCUUAUUAAAAGACUGGUUCAAUGAGAUGAAACGACCUAUGCCCCAUUUCAGCAGGAAGUAGAUAGAUUGGUUGUUGCCCCAGAUCCCACAAGAUUGAGGAACGGACACAAAAUAGGGGGGAGUUUAUAUCGACCCUGAUAUUAGUUUCCCCAUAUUAAACCCAGCAUAUAUGGGGUUAAAAGCAAAACACCCAUUCCCUGCUUACUCUCUGGCUUCCUGGCUCCAGAAUCCACUAUCCUCCAUGGAGACAGACACCAUCAAGGACAAGCACCUGGACUAUCUCCUCCCACAAAGAGAUACGGGCUGGUGGGAAAGCUGCUGACCAGCAAGGUCAUGAGUUCCCUCCUGUCUGCAAGUAGUCUCAAAGCCAAAGACAGGCUGGUGGGAAAGCUCCGACCAGCAAGGCCAUAUGCUCCCCCUCCCCUACCUAAAGCCCCAAAUAAAAACCCUUCCUUUUAGCUUUUCGGGGAGUUUGGGAUUUGAGCGUUAGCUGCCCUCUCUCCUUGCUCAGCGCUGUGCAAAAAUACAAUUCCUACUUUCUUCCACCACAUCCAGUGUCAGAGAUUGGCUUGCUGUGCAACGGGUGAGCGAAGUCAUUUCAGGUUCCAUAACAUUCCUAUGAUGGAUACUAGCUCCAACUUGGAAACUAGGCAAGGAAUCAUGGCAUUUUAUUAGGUGAGGCCCUUGAUUGUCUGAUUGUCUAUCUUUGAUUAUAUAAACUGAGCAUUAUCCUUUGUGACUGCCUGUCUUUUUCACUCAUAGGGAAGAUGUGUCUUAUUAAAAAUUUUUGUAACACUUGUGGGCCAGUCUCCCAUAUUACCACUUCCACCUUGCCACUCAUUAUGACAAUUUUGAUCACUGAUUAAGCUUUGUCAGCAAUUGGGAGGCACCAGCUCUUGAUAGGAAGGAGAUGAACUCUAUUGUAGGCUCAGAGUGUUCAGGAAAAUCUGGAGAUGCAUGAUUUAGGAGCAGAUCAACCCAAAUAUUCCCAUCCCAUGUGUCAGGACUCCAUUCCUUCUCAAUUAGCAUCCAGAUCUUGGCAUAACAGAUAUAUAUAAUUUAAAAGACUAAACUUCUAUAGACCUCUGCUACUUUCUUUCUUUUUUUUUUCUUUUUUUGGCUGAGGAAGAUUUGCCCUGAGCUAACAUCUGUGCCAGAUUUCCUUUAAUUUGUAUCUGGGUCACCACCACAGCAUGGCUGCCAAUGAGUGCUAUAAGUCCAUGCCCAGGAACCCAAUCUGGGCUGCUGAAGCAGAGUGCACCAAACUUAAUUACCAGAACAUGGGGCCAGCCCCUGGAGCUCUGCUAUUUUAAUUACUAAGUCCUCAGAUUUUUCUUCCUUAUGGCUACAGAAGUUGAGACUUUAUUUGCU
rnacentral:lncRNA from 1 species